GACGAACGCUGGCGGCGUGCUUAACACAUGCAAGUCGAACGGAAAGGCCCUGCUUGCAGGGUACUCGAGUGGCGAACGGGUGAGUAACACGUGGGUGAUCUGCCCUGCACUUCGGGAUAAGCUUGGGAAACUGGGUCUAAUACCGGAUAGGAACCAUCUUUAGUGUGGUGGUUGGAAAGUUUUUUCGGUGUAGGAUGAGCUCGCGGCCUAUCAGCUUGUUGGUGGGGUAAUGGCCUACCAAGGCGGCGACGGGUAGCCGGCCUGAGAGGGUGUACGGCCACAUUGGGACGGAGAUACGGGCCAGACUCCUACCGGAGGCAGCAAUGGGGAAUAUUGAACAAUGGGCGCAAGCCUGAUGCAGCGACGCCGCGUGGGGGAUGAAGGCCUUCGGGUUGUAAACUCCUUUCGCUAGGGACGAAGCUUUGUUGUGACGGUACCUAGAUAAGAAGCACCGGCUAACUACGUG
rnacentral:rRNA from 1 species